rnacentral:tRNA from 1 species
CGUUAAAUGGCUGAAAUGCAAGCAAUGAUCUCUUAAAUCAUAAUAUAAUAAAUUAGCAAUUUAUUUUUAAUGA